rnacentral:rRNA from 1 species
GGUUAAGCGACUAAGCGUACACGGUGGAUGCCCUGGCAGUCAGAGGCGAUGAAGGGCGUGCUAAUCUGCGAUAAGCGCCGGUAAGGUGAUAUGAACCGUUAUAACCGGCGAUACCCGAAUGGGGAAACCCAGUGUGACUCGUCACACUAUCAUUAACUGAAUCCAUAGGUUAAUGAGGCGAACCGGGGGAACUGAAACAUCUAAGUACCCCGAGGAAAAGAAAUCAACCGAGAUUCCCCCAGUAGCGGCGAGCGAACGGGGAGGAGCCCAGAGCCUGAAUCAGCAUGUGUGUUAGUGGAAGCGUCUGGAAAGGCGUGCGAUACAGGGUGACAGCCCCGUACACAAAAGCGCAUGUGCUGUGAGCUCGAUGAGUAGGGCGGGACACGUGGUAUCCUGUCUGAAUAUGGGGGGACCAUCCUCCAAGGCUAAAUACUCCUGACUGACCGAUAGUGAACCAGUACCGUGAGGGAAAGGCGAAAAGAACCCCGGCGAGGGGAGUGAAAAAGAACCUGAAACCGUGUACGUACAAGCAGUGGGAGCCCCACCACUAAGCCAGUGGUGAACUCCACAUACGCAUCCUUUGCUGAGGAUACGGUUAACGGAGCACAAGCGACGUUCAACCUCAAAAGAAGCAGAGGGGGCUUAGUGGUGGGGUGACUGCGUACCUUUUGUAUAAUGGGUCAGCGACUUAUAUUCUGUAGCAAGGUUAACCGUAUAGGGGAGCCGGAGGGAAACCGAGUCUUAACCGGGCGUUAAGUUGCAGGGUAUAGACCCGAAACCCGGUGAUCUAGCCAUGGGCAGGUUGAAGGUUGGGUAACACUAACUGGAGGACCGAACCGACUAAUGUUGAAAAAUUAGCGGAUGACCUGUGGCUGGGGGUGAAAGGCCAAUCAAACCGGGAGAUAGCUGGUUCUCCCCGAAAGCUAUUUAGGUAGCGCCUCGUGAACUCAUCUCCGGGGGUAGAGCACUGUUUCGGCUAGGGGGCCAUCCCGGCUUACCAACCCGAUGCAAACUGCGAAUACCGGAGAAUGUUAUCACGGGAGACACACGGCGGGUGCUAACGUCCGUCGUGAAGAGGGAAACAACCCAGACCGCCAGCUAAGGUCCCAAAGUCAUGGUUAAGUGGGAAACGAUGUGGGAAGGCCCAGACAGCCAGGAUGUUGGCUUAGAAGCAGCCAUCAUUUAAAGAAAGCGUAAUAGCUCACUGGUCGAGUCGGCCUGCGCGGAAGAUGUAACGGGGCUAAACCAUGCACCGAAGCUGCGGCAGCGACACUAUGUGUUGUUGGGUAGGGGAGCGUUCUGUAAGCCU